rnacentral:rRNA from 1 species
AGAGUUUGAUCAUGGCUCAGGAUGAACGCUAGCUACAGGCUUAACACAUGCAAGUCGAGGGGAAACGACAUCGAAAGCUUGCUUUUGAUGGGCGUCGACCGGCACACGGGUGAGUAACGCGUAUCCAACCUGCCCACCACUUGGGGAUAACCUUGCGAAAGUAAGACUAAUACCCAAUGACGUCUCUAGAAGACAUCUGAAAGAGAUUAAAGAUUUAUCGGUGAUGGAUGGGGAUGCGUCUGAUUAGCUUGUUGGCGGGAUAACGGCCCACCAAGGCGACGAUCGAGUAGGGGUUCUGAGAGGAAGGUCCCCCANAUUGGAACUGAGACACGGUCCAAACGUCCUACGGGAGGCA